ensembl:lncRNA
CUUCUCAGUCAUGUUGACACUGGUCCACUACCAGGUCAUGUGUCUUCUCAGUCAUGUUGACACUGGUCUACUACCAGGUCAUGUGUCUUCUCAGUCAUGUUGACACUGGUCUACUACCAGGUAAUGUGUCUUCUCAGUCAUGUUGACACUGGUCUACUACCAGAUCAUGUGUCUUCUCAGUCAUGUUGACACUGGUCCACUACCAGGUCAUGUGUCUUCUCAGUCAGGUUGAGACUGGUCUACUACCAGGUCAUGUGUCUUCUCAGUCAUGUUGACACUGGUCUACUACCACGUCAUGUGUCUUCUCAGUCAUGUUGACACUGGUCUACUACCAGAUCAUGUGUCUUCUCAGUCAUGUUGACACUGGUCCACUACCAGGUCAUGUGUCUCCUCAGUCAUGUUGACACUGGUCCACUACCAGGUCAUGUGUCUUCUCAGUCAUGU